GGAAACUGUAGCUCAAGGGUAGAGCAUCUGCCUUGCAUGGAGAUGGUCCUUGGUUCAACCACCAGCAUCUCCA